rnacentral:rRNA from 1 species
CAGUCGCCGCGGGAAUACGUAGGUGGCGAGCGUUGUCCGGAAUUACUGGGCGUAAAGAGCUCGUAGGCGGUUUGUCGCGUCGUCUGUGAAAUUCUGCAGCUUAACUGCAGGCGUGCAGGCGAUACGGGCAGACUUGAGUACUACAGGGGAGACUGGAAUUCCUGGUGUAGCGGUGAAAUGCGCAGAUAUCAGGAGGAACACCGGUGGCGAAGGCGGGUCUCUGGGUAGUAACUGACGCUGAGGAGCGAAAGCGUGGGUAGCGAACAGGAUUAGAUACCCGCGUAGUCCCUGUCUCUUAUAA